CCUACGGGAGGCAGCAGUGGGGAAUUUUGGACAAUGGACGAAAGUCUGAUCCAGCAAUGCCGCGUGCAGGACGAAGGCCUUCGGGUUGUAAACUGCUUUUGUACGGAACGAAACGGUCUGCUUUAAUACAGCGGGCUAAUGACGGUACCGUAAGAAUAAGCACCGGCUAACUACGUGCCAGCAGCCGCGGUAAUACGUAGGGUGCGAGCGUUAAUCGGAAUUACUGGGCGUAAAGCGUGCGCAGGCGGUUAUAUAAGUCAGAUGUGAAAUCCCCGGGCUCAACCUGGGACCUGCAUUUGAGACUGUAUAGCUAGAGUACGGUAGAGGGGGAUGGAAUUCCGCGUGUAGCAGUGAAAUGCGUAGAUAUGCGGAGGAACACCGAUGGCGAAGGCAAUCCCCUGGACCUGUACUGACGCUCAUGCACGAAAGCGUGGGGAGCAAACAGGAUUAGAUACCCCAGUAGUC
rnacentral:rRNA from 1 species